rnacentral:rRNA from 1 species
AUGGCUCAGAUUGAACGCUGGCGGCAGGCCUAACACAUGCAAGUCGAGCGGUAGCACAGAGAGCUUGCUCUCGGGUGACGAGCGGCGGACGGGUGAGUAAUGUCUGGGAAACUGCCUGAUGGAGGGGGAUAACUACUGGAAACGGUAGCUAAUACCGCAUAACGUCGCAAGACCAAAGUGGGGGACCUUCGGGCCUCAUGCCAUCAGAUGUGCCCAGAUGGGAUUAGCUAGUAGGUGGGGUAACGGCUCACCUAGGCGACGAUCCCUAGCUGGUCUGAGAGGAUGACCAGCCACACUGGAACUGAGACACGGUCCAGACUCCUAC